rnacentral:rRNA from 1 species
GACGAACGCUGGCGGCGUGCUUAACACAUGCAAGUCGAACGGAAAGGCCCUGCUUUUGUGGGGUGCUCGAGUGGCGAACGGGUGAGUAACACGUGAGUAACCUGCCCUUGUCUUUCGGAUAACUUCACGAAACUGGGGCUAAUAUCGGAUAGGAGAUCCUGCUCCAUGGUGGGGGUUGGAAAGUUUCGGCGUUUGGGGAUGGACUCGCGGCUUAUCGGCUUGCUGGUGGGGUAGUGGAUUACCCAGGCUUUGAAGGGUCGCCGGCCUGAGAGGGUGACCGGCCACAUGGGGACAGGGAUACGACCCAGACGGAUACGGGAGGCAGCAGUGGGGAAUAUUGCACAAUGGGCGGAGGCCUGAUGCAACAACGCCGCGUGGGGGAUGACGGCCUUCAGGUAAGAAACAAAUUUCGCCUGACACGAAGCGUGAGUGACGGAAAUGAGUAAAGAGGCACCGGCAAACUACGU